rnacentral:rRNA from 1 species
CAGGUAGGCGGCCUGAAAAGUGAGAAGUGAAAUCCACCGGCUCAAUCGGUGAAUUGCUUUUCAAACUUUCGGGCUUGAGUGUGGGAGAGGAGAAUGGAACUCCUGGUGUAGAGGUGAAAUUCGUAGAUAUCAGGAGGAACACCAUUGGCGAAGGCGAUUCUCUGGACCACUAAUGACGCUGAACUGCGAAAGCUAGGGGAGAGAACAGGAUUAGAUACCCUGGUAGUCC